GAAAAUUCUUGUUUCAAAAGAAGUGGCUAUGAAAUAGACAAGCAGAUAGUAAGUGGUGUGGCUCACCAUCAAUCACUUCAAAAGGACUGGAAGCAAUGCAAAUAUAGUCUUCCUCACACCUUCACUGGCAGCUAGGACCUCGAAGUAUCCAGCUAGCCGCAAUCAUCAACGUGCCUAAUACCUGUCAGACUGCCAGAUAUUCUACUACUAACUACAUACAAGAUGCACGGAAUGCAAAAGAUUAUAUGGACUAAUCUUUUCACAAGCAGCCAG